GAUGAAGAACGUAGCGAAAUGCGAUACUUGGUGUGAAUUGCAGAAUCCCGUGAACCAUCGAGUCUUUGAACGCAAGUUGCGCCUCAAGCCAUUAGGUUGAGGGCACGUCUGCCUGGGCGUCACAUAUCGUUGCCUGAUGCCAGUUUCCUCGUGAUGGGUGACUGUGCAGGGCGAAUGAUGGCUUCCCGUGAGCAUUGUUGCCUCAUGGUUGGUUGAAAAUUGAGACCUUGGUAGGGAGCGCCGUGAUAGAUGGUGGUUGAGUGACGAACGAGACCCAAUCAUGUGAGACCCCUACCGAAUUUGGCCUUCAUGACCCACAUGCGUCUUUGGAACGCUCAUGACGAGACCUCAGGUCAGGCGGGGCUACCCGCUGAGUUUAAGCAUAUCAAUAAGCGGAGGA
rnacentral:misc_RNA from 1 species